CAGCGAGUUCCCGUCGGGAGCUUUCUUGCAAGUUUCCCUCUGAAGCCGAACAGUCAGGAGUAUUUCCGUUUGACGUGUUCUGUCUGCUGCUGCUGGGUGCUGUGAGGAGAGCUCCGGCAAGCUCAGAAGUCCCGACAUGGGUGUUGUGACCUAUGAUGAUGUGCAUGUGAACUUCACUCAGGAAGAGUGGGCUUUGCUGGAUCCUUCCCAGAAGAGUCUCUACAAAGAUGUGAUGCUGGAGACCUACAGGAAUCUUGCUGCUGUAGGCAACAAUUGGGAAGACCAUAAUAUUGAAGAACAUUUUCAAAGUUCUAGAAGACAUGGAAGAGAGAAGCCUGGCAUAACUGUCCUCUAAGAGGCUACACCCAGCAGCCAAUGGAAGGAAGUGUAGAGACCCACAGUGAAACAUUAGAUGGAGCCUGGGGACUCUUACUGAAGAGCUGGGAAAAGGAUUGAAGGACCAGAAAAGGACAGGGAUUCCACAAGAAAACCAAGAGAGACAAGAUACUGAAUACACCUGGGCUCCCAGAGACUGCAUUACCAAAGAGUGAGCGCCUGCUGGACCUAGGUACCUACACACAGGUAGCAGAUAAGCAAUUUGGUCUUUAUAUGGAUACCCAAACAACUGGAAUGGAAGCUGAUCCUGAAUCCGUUUCGUGCCUGCCUAUAGAUCCAGUUCCCCUAACCAGACCAGGUCAUCUGGCCUCAGCAGGUGAGAAUGUAUCUAAUCUUGCAAUGACUUCAUGGGUCAGGGUUACGAUGGGGAUGGAGUGGGUGACUCCCUCUUCUCAAAUGAGAAAGGGAGGAAAGGGUGGAAGAUAUAUGUGAAGUGGUACUGGAAAGAGAGGGGGUACUGAUGCUGUGAUGUAGGGUGAAUAAAUUCAAAAUUAUCUUAAACUAGGGACAUACUUUACUUAUUUUUUACUUUUAUAUAGAAUAUUUCUUCUGCUAGGAAAAAAAAGCAACUGUGGAUGUAGCAGUAGAAAUGGAGAAACAUCAAUAUUAAACCUGGAAUGGAAAGACUUAAGUCUAUCCAUAAGUAUAUGUAAUAGGGAUGUAAAGAAAUUAAAUUGAAAAGGGUUAUGCUAAACCCAGAAGUCAGUCCAUAUAUUAGAAUGAAUUUCCAGCCCUGAAUUCCACUGUGUUAAGAAAUACAGAUGUGGCAUUCCAGUUGUUAAUCCCUACUAGAAUUCCUAUCUUAAUAUUUACUGAAGGUAUUUCUGUAAUCUUGUGUCUACUUUAAUAAAAAUCAGUUCUAUAC
rnacentral:lncRNA from 1 species